GUGCUGUGUGUUGUCUCCUCCUGCCGUAAAUCACCUCAGGGCCAGAAUAUAGAGUUAGAGAGCUUCGAGGAUAAGGGGAUAAUCUCAGAAGCACCGGAGUAUGGAACAGAAGCUGCCCUCUGCCUUGUAUUCUACUAAAACAUGGUUAAACUAAAUAUCACCAAGAUGAAAUGGGGUCAUCAUUUUUCCCAGAGGCACUGAUGAUCUUGAACUAAAAUUCUAUGAGAAGUAAGGUCUCUCUUCUUUUGGAAUUUUGAGUUGACAAAAUUGGACAAAAUACAUAUUCCAUGAUAAUUCCCAGGCACAGUCUUUAUGAAAUGUACUCCAUGACAAAUAUUUUAUAAUUCAAGCUAUUCCCAUGAAUCCUCAUUGUCAAUCAAAAGACACUUGCAAAAAAGCCUGCUGGUGUCAAUCAGGACUAGGGGACAGACAUUCAUCAGAGCAACAGGGACCCUGUCAUUAAAAGUGGACGUGUAUCUCCUGUAAAGUUGAACUGAAAUCUGAGCACCCACAAAAGGGUGGUAAACAGGACACCUCUGAAGGUCACUUGAAGGUAACCAUUAGCUAUUUAAGGAUAGAAACACCACUUUGUUCAAAUUCAUGGUUGUGUCUCUUUUAGAUAAAAGGCAGAACAGAAGAGAAAGCAGGAAGAGAAGAAACACCCGUAAUAUCUGAGAACUGUGAACUCAAGAGCAGCCAAAUUCUUUAGGGCUUCAGUGUGACUGUUAUGGUGACAUGC
ensembl:lncRNA